rnacentral:lncRNA from 1 species
AUGUCUUCAUCGUCCACGUGGUGCAGCACCACCCGGAUGAGGGAACCAGCCACGCCGAAGAUGGGAUUGACCACCGCUGCUGCAGAUGAGAUGGUGGCCACACAUUCCAUAACCUUCACUAGACCCCUCUUCAGCUUCUCUUGGUCUUCUAAGAUCUCAUUUUCAGCCAUUGUGUCUGGAGGAAGAGCCCUUCCCAGUGAAGUUUACCUGAAGAAGAAACUGAUAAUACAAAGCUGCGUGUCUUCCCAGCAGUCAAUGCAUCAUGGGCAGUUUCAUCUGAGAUCAGUGUGGAGGGGUGGACAGAUGGACUAUACCAUUAUCUUACAGGGUCCUGGACUCCAGAUGUCAUGUGAUCAUUCACACUGUGAAAUGAUGUAGAUCUGCUUUAGGCCUUACUGUGGCAUCAAUG